rnacentral:snoRNA from 1 species
AUUUGAUGGUGUGGGCAGCUUGCACAUAGUUUCUUGAAACGCUCCCAAUAUUCAUACAAUGACUCUCCAUUGUUUUGCAUUAUACCACAAAUUUCCUUUCUAAUGUU